rnacentral:rRNA from 1 species
CAAUCGCGUAUAUUGAAGUUGUUGCGGUUAAACAAUUCGUAGUUGGAUUUCUGCUGAGGACGACCGGUCCGCCCUCCGGGUGAGCAUCUGGUUCGGCCUUGGCAUCGUCUUGGUGAACGUAGUUGCACUUGACUGUGUGGUGCGGUACCCAGGAUGUUUACUUUCAGGAAAUUAGAGUGUUUGAAGCAGGCAUACGCCUUGAUUACAUUAGCAUGGAAUAAUAAGAUAGGACCUCGGUUCUAUGUUGUUGGUUUCUAGAGCUGAGGUAAUGAUUAAUCGGGGUAGUUGGGGGGCAUUCGUAUUUAAAUGACAGAGGUGGAAUUCUUGGAUUUGUUAAAGACGGACUACUGCGAAAGCAGUUGCCAAGGAUGUUUUCAUUGAUCAAGGACGGAAGUUAAGGGAUCGAAGACGAUCAGAUACCGU